AUUGAACGCUGGCGGCAGGCCUAACACAUGCAAGUCGAGCGGCAGCGGAAAGUAGCUUGAUACUUUGCCGGCGAGCGGCGGACGGGUGAGUAAUGUCUGGGAAACUGCCUGAUGGAGGGGGAUAACUACUGGAAACGGUAGCUAAUACCGCAUGACCUCGAAAGAGCAAAGUGGGGGAUCUUCGGACCUCACGCCAUCGGAUGUGCCCAGAUGGGAUUAGCUAGUAGGUGAGGUAAUGGCUCACCUAGGCGACGAUCCCUAGCUGGUCUGAGAGGAUGACCAGCCACACUGGAACUGAGACACGGUCCAGACUCCUACGGGAGGCAGAAGUGGGGAAUAUUGGACAAUGGGCGCAAGCCUGAUCCAGCCAUGCCGCGUGUGUGAAGAAGGCCUUUUGGUUGCAAAGCACUUUAAGCGAGGAGGAGGCUACUUGGAUUAAUACUCUAGGAUAGUGGACGUUACUCGCAGAAUAAGCACCGGCUAACUCUGUGCCAGCAGCCGCGGUAAUACAGAGGGUGCGAGCGUUAAUCGGAUUUACUGGGCGUAAAGCGUGCGUAGGCGGCUUUUUAAGCCGGAUGUGAAAUCCCUGAGCUUAACUUAGGAAUUGCAUUCGAUACUGGGGAAGCUAGAGUAUGGGAGAGGAUGGUAGAAUUCCCGGUGUAGCGGUGAAAUGCGUAGAGAUCUGGGAGGAAUACCGAUGGCGAAGGCAGCCAUCUGGCCCUACUACCUGACGCUCAGGUACCAAAAGCGUGGGGAGCCGACAGGGUUAUAUACCCUGGGUGUUCAAGGAGCGAAAUCCCCAAUUGAUAUCAGGGUUUGGAACCCGCCGACCUCUAGGGGGGGGGCCGGUGCCCCCCCUUGUGUUCCUUUCCUCCGUCUUUUUUGUCCCUUUCGGGGGGAC
rnacentral:rRNA from 1 species